UACGAAGGGUGCAAGCGUUACUCGGAAUUACUGGGCGUAAAGGGUGCGUAGGCGGUGAGGUAAGUCUGACGUGAAAUCUCCGGGCUCAACCCGGAAACUGCGUUGGAUACUAUCUCGCUAGAGGAAUGGAGGGGAGACUGGAAUACUUGGUGUAGCAGUGAAAUGCGUAGAUAUCAAGUGGAACACCAGUGGCGAAGGCGAGUCUCUGGACAUUUCCUGACGCUGAGGCACGAAAGCCAGGGGAGCAAACGGG
rnacentral:rRNA from 1 species